rfam:Aedes aegypti strain Liverpool supercont1.81 genomic scaffold, whole genome shotgun sequence.
UAGCCGUAGCGGUAAACGCGCAGCUCUUCAGUAAGACCAAGCUGAGGGUCGUGGGUUCAAAUCCCACCGGUCUAG